GUAGUGACAAGAAAUAACAAUACAGGACUUUAAAUAGUUUUGUAAUUGGAAUGAGUUAAGUAUAAACCCCUUUACAAGUAUCAAUUGGAGGGCAAGUCUGGUGCCAGCAGCCGCGGUAAUUCCAGCUCCAAUAGCGUAUAUUAAAGUUGUUGCAGUUAAAAAGCUCGUAGUUGGAUUUCUGUUAAUAAUUUAUAUAUAAUAUUUUAUUAAUAUUUAUAUAGUAUUAACAUAAUUCAUAUUACUAUAUUUUAUAGUAUAUGAAAUUUUACUUUGAGAAAAUUAGAGUGCUUAAAGCAGGCAUUAGCCUUGAAUACUCCAGCAUGGAAUAAUAUAAAAGAUUUUUAUCUUUUUUAUUGGUUCUAAGAUAAAAAUAAUGAUUAAUAGGGACAGUUGGGGGCAUUUGUAUUUAACAGUCAGAGGUGAAAUUCUUAGAUUUGUUAAAGACAAACUAGUGCGAAAGCAUUUGCCAAGGAUGUUUUCAUUAAUCAAGAACGAAAGUUAGGGGAUCGAAGACGAUCAGAUACCGUCGUAGUCUAACC
rnacentral:rRNA from 1 species